rnacentral:rRNA from 1 species
AUUGAACGCUGGCGGCAUGCCUUACACAUGCAAGUCGAACGGUAACGGGCCUUCGGGUGCCGACGAGUGGCGAACGGGUGAGUAAUGUAUCGGAACGUACCUUUCAGUGGGGGAUAACGUAGCGAAAGUUACGCUAAUACCGCAUAUUCUGUGCGCAGGAAAGCAGGGGAUCGCAAGACCUUGCGCUGAUUGAGCGGCCGAUAUCAGAUUAGCUAGUUGGUGAGGUAAAGGCUCACCAAGGCGACGAUCUGUAGCGGGUCUGAGAGGAUGAUCCGCCACACUGGAACUGAGACACGGUCCAGACUCCUACGGGAGGCAGCAGUGGGGAAUUUUGGACAAUGGGGGCAACCCUGAUCCAGCCAUGCCGCGUGAGUGAAGAAGGCCUCGGUUGUAAG